AUCGAGACAAUUAUCCGCCUUAGGAUGACCUGAUUAGAAUUUACCUGUGAGGGGAGGGUUGAUUCUUACAGAUGCAUGUUCUGUUGGUGACUUUGUUGGUGACUAUUGGUUCAACCGUUUGAUCAAAAUUCUAUUUAUAAGUCGGAUUUAUGGAUAUUUAUUUCCGAGACGCCGGAUUUCUGUCCGUGAUAUUUAUCAGUGGGGAUCCGUUUAUUUCAGGAUUCCCCGGGCUGGUUUAGAGGGUCUUUUGGUUAUCAGGCCAGUGGUUCUC
rnacentral:lncRNA from 1 species